UACGUAGGGUGCAAGCGUUGUCAGGAAUUACUGGGCGUAAAGCGUGCGCAGGCGGUUGUGUAAGACAGAUGUGAAAUCCCCGGGCUCAACCUGGGAACUGCAUUUGUGACUGCACAGCUGGAGUGCGGCAGAGGGGGAUGGAAUUCCGCGUGUAGCAGUGAAAUGCGUAGAUAUGCGGAGGAACACCGAUGGCGAAGGCAAUCCCCUGGGCCUGCACUGACGCUCAUGCACGAAAGCGUGGGGAGCAAACAGG
rnacentral:rRNA from 1 species